CCGGCGAUACCCGAAUGGGGAAACCCAGUGUGACUCGUCACACUAUCAUUAACUGAAUCCAUAGGUUAAUGAGGCGAACCGGGGGAACUGAAACAUCUAAGUACCCCGAGGAAAAGAAAUCAACCGAGAUUCCCCCAGUAGCGGCGAGCGAACGGGGAGGAGCCCAGAGCCUGAAUCAGCAUGUGUGUUAGUGGAAGCGUCUGGAAAGGCGCGCGAUACAGGGUGACAGCCCCGUACACAAAAGCGCAUGUGCUGUGAGCUCGAUGAGUAGGGCGGGACACGUGGUAUCCUGUCUGAAUAUGGGGGGACCAUCCUCCAAGGCUAAAUACUCCUGACUGACCGAUAGUGAACCAGUACCGUGAGGGAAAGGCGAAAAGAACCCCGGCGAGGGGAGUGAAAAAGAACCUGAAACCGUGUACGUACAAGCAGUGGGAGCACCCUUUGGGGUGUGACUGCGUACCUUUUGUAUAAUGGGUCAGCGACUUAUAUUCUGUAGCAAGGUUAACCGUAUAGGGGAGCCGGAGGGAAACCGAGUCUUAACCGGGCGUUAAGUUGCAGGGUAUAGACCCGAAACCCGGUGAUCUAGCCAUGGGCAGGUUGAAGGUUGGGUAACACUAACUGGAGGACCGAACCGACUAAUGUUGAAAAAUUAGCGGAUGACCUGUGGCUGGGGGUGAAAGGCCAAUCAAACCGGGAGAUAGCUGGUUCUCCCCGAAAGCUAUUUAGGUAGCGCCUCGUGAAUUCAUCUCCGGGGGUAGAGCACUGUUUCGGCUAGGGGGCCAUCCCGGCUUACCAACCCGAUGCAAACUGCGAAUACCGGAGAAUGUUAUCACGGGAGACACACGGCGGGUGCUAACGUCCGUCGUGAAGAGGGAAACAACCCAGACCGCCAGCUAAGGUCCCAAAGUCAUGGUUAAGUGGGAAACGAUGUGGGAAGGCCCAGACAGCCAGGAUGUUGGCUUAGAAGCAGCCAUCAUUUAAAGAAAGCGUAAUAGCUCACUGGUCGAGUCGGCCUGCGCGGAAGAUGUAACGGGGCUAAACCAUG
rnacentral:rRNA from 1 species